rnacentral:rRNA from 1 species
AUUGAACGCUGGCGGCAUGCCUUACACAUGCAAGUCGAACGGCAGCACGGGAGCAAUCCUGGUGGCGAGUGGCGAACGGGUGAGUAAAGUAUCGGAACGUGCCCAGUCGUGGGGGAUAACGUAGCGAAAGUUACGCUAAUACCGCAUACGAUCUAUGGAUGAAAGCGGGGGAUCGCAAGACCUCGCGCGAUUGGAGCGGCCGAUAUCAGAUUAGGUAGUUGGUGGGGUAAAGGCUCACCAAGCCGACGGUCUGUAGAUGGUCUGAGAGGACGACCGGCCACACUGGGAGUGAGACACGGCCCAGAGUCCUACGGGAGGCAGCAGUGGGGAAUUGUGGACAAUGGGCGAAAGCCUGAUCCAGCCAUGCCGCGUGCAGGAUGAAGGCCUUCGGGUUGUAAACUGCUUUUGUACGGAACGAAAAGGUUUGGCCUAAUAAGCUGAGCUCAUGACGGUACCGUAAGAAUAAGCACCGGCUAACUACGUGCCAGCCGCCGCCGUAA